rnacentral:lncRNA from 1 species
GUGUUCAAAAUAAUUCUCAGGUGUUGUAUUUGGCCACUUCACUAUUCUGGAAAUGGUUGGUUUGUUUGUUUGUUUGUUUGUUUUUUUUUUGUUAUGAUCAUUCUUUGCUCGUUUCCUGCUUAACCUUGGAGCCUUAACAUCCAUUGACCUGCCAAAUAUCAACUGAAACAAGAUUCAUAUGCUAUGGGAAUCCAUCAUCCCGAGUAGGUUUUUAUAAAUAUUUUUAAGAGGAAUCUCAACUUAAAAUUGAUCUAGAAAUUUGGCUCUUAUUUACAAUUACUGGGGCUAUAAUGUCUAGCAGCUGGCGGCAUGUAAACUAUAAACAUGAAGAAUUCCUCCUCCUAAGAUUUUAUGAUGUGUAUAGCAGG